CUGACGUAUGUCGUCACUGGUCGCGACGUGUCUUCUCAUUGGCCAUAGACUUCCGGGGAGCGCAGAGAGGCGGAGAAAGGAAGUAGGUAAACAGAUUUAAACCAAGUUUGAAUCAUUGCUUCUGUUUGCUACUACUGUUAGAAAACGUCGUAACCGAAGAGGUGUGGAUGCUAAUACAAACUCUGGAGCAGUUUUUUCACGUUAAUGAAGAUGUCUGGAUGCUAAAACAAACACAGGAGCUGCAGUUUUUGUUUAACACGAGUGAGACUGGACGCCGAACACACCUGCAGCGCGAAAUAAGGCAAACAGGUUUACUCCUUCAGCUGCUGCAGCCUGGACAGGAACACCAGCUCUCACCUUUCAGACCAAACAGGUUCACCACUUUAUCCUCGAUCACAGAGAGUCUUUGUACAAUGAAGAAGUUAUUUGAGAUCAGGACUGAGGCUUCCAGGUAAUUCACAAACAGUUUAACAUCAACUGUCCAACACAGAGCACUGACAUGAAAUUAUAUAUCUUCAGUAAUUGAUCUGAAGUCUGAAUAGUUUAAUUUGUCACAAAAAGACAUAACUCAUUAUUCAAAUAUAUUUUCAUAGUUCAUGAAUGUAUAGUUCAAAGAAAAUGUAGAAUUUAAACAUCAGCUCCCUGUCUUCCUCUCUCUGUCUCUGCCCCCAAUUUCAAUGAAAUUGAAACUUCAAACAUAUGAGAGACAGUUUUUACCUUUCCUAAUAUUUCUUAUUCUACUGAAAUGACUUUAUUAAGGAUAAUUUAAUAGAUUAUUUUACUAAAAUUUUCACAGUUUUUCAUGCCUUACUAUACUAUGACAUUUUUGACUCCUUACUAUACUAUGGUGUUUUAUGAUGGUGUUUGACCCCUUACUAUACUAUAUCAGUUUUUCAUGCCUUACUAUACUAUGGCAUUUUUUGACACCUUACUUUAUUGUGACAUGCAACUGAAGACAAAGGAACUGUCUUAAAACAGAAUCUUACAUUUGUUUUCCACAGACACAUAUUCACACACACACACCUCUAUAGAUUAUCUUUGAUUUUGUGUUUCCCAUUUAAUUUUGGUAUUUUGCUAUUUCAAACAGUGCAAUAUCAGUACUCAAAUCCAAUCUAAUAUUGCACAAUAUAAUGUAUAUAAUACUAUAUAGUCCUGUUUAUACUGUUCAUAUUGUUUAUACUUUGCAUAUAUUGUAAUGUUAACUCACUUUGUAUUUUUUCUUGCUUGUAACAUGCCUUUUUAUACUAUGACAUUUUUUGACCCCUUACUAUAUUGUGACGUUUUAUGAUGGUUUUGGACCCCUUACUAUACUGUAACAGUUUUUCAUGCCUUACUAUACUAUGGCAUUUUUUGACUCCUUACUUUAUUGUGACAUGCAGCUGAAGACAAAGGAACUGUCUUAAAACAGCAUCUUACAUUUGUUUUCCACAGACACGCAUAUUCACACACACACACACACACCCCUCUACAGUGUGGAUUAUCUUUGAUUUUGUGUUUGCCAUUUCAUUUUGGUAUUUUGCUUUUUCAAACAGUGCAAGAUCAGUACUCAAAUCCAAUCUAAUACUGUACAAUAUAAUAUAUAUGGUACUAUAUAGUUCUAUUAAUACUGUUCAUAUUGUUUAUACUUUGCAUAUAUUGUAAUGUUAACUUAAUUUGUAUUUUUUCUUGCUUGUAACAUGCCUUUUUAUACUAUGACAUUUUUUGGCCCCUUACUACACUAUAACAGUUUUUCAUGCCUUACUAUACUAUGACAUUUUUUGACUUCUUACUAUAUUAUGACGUUUUAUGAUGGUUUUGGACAUCUUACUAUACCGUGACGUUUUUUGGCCAUUUUUGACCCCUUUACUAUACUAUGACAUUUUUUGACUCCUUUCUUUAUUGUGACAUGCAGAUGAAGACAAAGGAACUGUCUUAAAACAGCAUCUUACAUUUGUUUUUCACAGACACGCAUAUUCACACACACACACACCCCUCUACAGUGUGGAUUAUCUUUGAUUUUGUGUUUGCCAUUUCAUUUUGGUAUUUUGCUUUUUCAAACAGUGCAAGAUCAGUACUCAAAUCCAAUCUAAUACUGUACAAUAUAAUAUAUAUGGUACUAUAUAGUUCUAUUAAUACUGUUCAUAUUGUUUAUACUUUGCAUAUAUUGUAAUGUUAACUUAAUUUGUAUUUUUUCUUGCUUGUAACAUGCCUUUUUAUACUAUGACAUUUUUUGGCCCCUUACUACACUAUAACAGUUUUUCAUGCCUUACUAUACUAUGACAUUUUUUGACUCCUUACUAUAUUAUGACGUUUUAUGAUGGUUUUGGACAUCUUACUAUACCGUGACGUUUUUUGACCCCUUUACUAUACUAUGACAUUUUUUGACGCCUUACUUUAUUGUGACAUGCAGCUGAAGACAAAGGAACUGUCUUAAAACAGCAUCUUACAUUUGUUUUCCACAGACACGCAUAUUCACACACACACACACACACACCCCUCUACAGUGUGGAUUAUCUUUGAUUUUGUGUUUGCCAUUUCAUUUUGGUAUUUUGCUUUUUCAAACAGUGCAAGAUCAGUACUCAAAUCCAAUCUAAUACUGUACAAUAUAAUAUAUAUGGUACUAUAUAGUUCUAUUAAUACUGUUCAUAUUGUUUAUACUUUGCAUAUAUUGUAAUGUUAACUUAAUUUGUAUUUUUUCUUGCUUGUAACAUGCCUUUUUAUACUAUGACAUUUUUUGGCCCCUUACUAUAUUAUGACGUUUUAUGAUGGUUUUGGACCCCUUACUAUACUAUGACAUUUUAUGAUGGUUUUGGACAUCUUACUAUACCGUGAUGUUUUUUGACCAUUUUUGACCCCUUUACUAUACUAUGACAUUUUUUGACGCCUUACUUUAUUGUGACAUGCAGCUGAAGACAAAGGAACUGUCUUAAAACAGCAUCUUACAUUUGUUUUCCACACACACACACACCCGUCUACACAGUGUGGAUUAUCUUUGAUUUUGUGUUUGCCAUUUAAUUUUGGUAUUUUGCUGUACUAUAUACUAUAAAUAAUACUAUGUAGUCCUGUUUA